GUAUGUGACCAGGUGAGGUUUGUAGCACUACUAAUUUUCUGAAAUGAAAAAUGGUACAAAACUAUACAU
rnacentral:lncRNA from 1 species